GACAGCCUUGACACUUGCUUUGUGACUGGCUGUUCUUUGAGAUGAAGCAAAACCUGACUGCCUCUCAGAGCACCAUCAUUUAAUCUUUCUCAGAAAGCUGCUGCAGUCCCUUAAUUUGAGGAUUAUACCUAAAGGCUCUAUUAAAAUUGUCAUUGAACAGGAAUCAAAAGGAGUUGUGUCUGACACAGCCACAAAAUUAAAAAAAAAUUAAAAUAAACCCUAAAUAUGUUUUCCCAAAAAUAAUCAGCAGCAGAGCACAAAAGCUACUUUUAUCUUGCUUGUGUGUGGUGUGAUGGAUAGUUCUAUAGAGAGUUUUAUGCUGGUAAAACAGAAGAAGUUAUUUAUUGUGCAGAAGAAGACCUGUGGGGAAAAAUGAAGGGAAUCAGAAUGUGCAAUGAAAUCAGCAUACAGCUCCCUUUGGCUUAUCUGUGUCCUCCUGGCAACACUGCGCCCAGAAGUGAGCGUGAAUUUCCGUGCAGAUGGAAAGCUGCAAAGUUACAAACACCUACAGAGCCACAAACCACAAAACGGGGAGUCUCUGUCACCCCAUUGCAAAAGUGAAUAUUAAAAUAUCUAGACACACA